AAUGUACAGCAUUAUUAACAUCUUAUUAGUAAUCAAUCAGUAAAUAUCACCUGAUUGCUAGAGCAAUGCCAGGCCGCACUGGGGAAGACAGACAGACGGCUAAGACAGAUCCAGACACCAGCUGCUUCCCAGCAGCCAGGGAACUCUACCGAGAGGAGGUCCACCUCUCAACUUUGCUCUUUCAGACCUUUAACAGAGAAUUACUUUAAAAUUCUUCAAGACUACACGGGGUAAGUGUGGCUCAGUGAAGGCACUGGGGGGCUUGGAGCCACUUGCCUGUGUCCCUAUGCCCUCUGCUCGGAGUCGCCUGACCUAACCUCACAGAACCAGCCUCCUACCUGAGAAGGGGGGAGGGAUGUGAUAUGGCCCUGGCAUGGUGCCCUCACUGCGUGUUGUGGGUGGGGACCGAGUAAUGUGUAUGAAAGCACCUAGCCCAGCUGCAGCUGUUGUCAGCAAGUAUCAACUGAGAAACUGUAAGGGCCUUGGAGACGGAGACCGGAGGAAGCUGGAUGGCCUGCUGCUGGGAGGGCAGGGAGAGCAUUUGCUUUAGGAGAGGCACAGGGUGACUCCUCAGAUCUCUUCUGGCUCAACGGCUCCGCGUUGGCUGUGAAGUCGGAGAUAACUCUGUCUAGCAUCUCCCUGGUCAGGAAGGCAUGCUCAGGAGAAGGUUCAGAGGUGCAAAGGGACGUGGCCAAGACACGCUGCUAGCUGGCUGGGGCGCGAGGACGUUAACAAACUGGAUCAAGCCAGGGUUAUGUGUUUCAAAUCGAAGAAAAGUCUGGAAACCAUAUUAUAUCCAUAAUGGUUGAGGAAUACUGAGGCAAGAUAACAGACGACUCUUCAGUGUAUCACGGCUCUUCUCCAGGAGGGCUUUGCAACUCCAUGUACUGUCUAGCAUGUUUCUGGGCCUCUGAGCAAAAAGAGUCAAGGGCCCCUCUACCAGAAAAGAAGCUUGAUGGUGGAGAAUAGUCUUCCUGACCCUGUAUUCACCUGGACCUCAAACCACAGAAUCUACAAAAAACAACUGGCAAAAGCUGUUGAGGUCUCAUCUCAUCAAAAUCUCUGCCCACUGAAGCCACGUCUGCCCCUGAAUCCAUACCGAAUGGCCCACCAGCUCAUGGGCUCGCUCGCAAAGCAACACAGCCCGUCUAUCAGCAGUGCGCUGGUGAGAACUCUUCCUUUCACUGAGGCCAAGUCUUCUUCAUCGCGGUGCCCAUGCAGGGUUCCUGCUUCGGUUCUCGGGGGUUCACAGAGAAAGUGGGAGGUCCCUUCCACGUGGCAGCCCUUCUGAGGUUUGAGAACCGAGGCCACGCCCCCUUCAGACUCUCUCUUCUCCUAGUACACACCUCGUUACCCCUGCAGUUGUCCCCCAUAUUAUGCCACUUUCAGACCUCUCACCGGUUCAGAUGCUCUCCUGCAGGGUCCCAGGUUGUGGCCCUCAGGUUCGGCCCCUGCGUUCCUGGUGACGCAUGACCAGUGCAGAGCAGGACCGUAAUCUGCCUUCUCCUGUACCCCUACUUCUAGUAAUGCAGGCCGAGCUCACUAGCAGUUUUGGUGGCCGUAACUCCUCCUCAAUUAAAAACCUUUUGAUAUUUUCACCCUUCACGUGAGAUCUAGGUUAAAACUGCUACUACUUUCCAGUCCUUUUCUCCACAAAUGAGCACUUGGUUUUAUAUCCACCUAUUUAGCAAAACAGGGGUGAUAAGCUUUCCUCUGUUACCCUCCUGGGUUAUUGGAAGACUUAAAUGGUAGCCAUAAGGAGCAUUAAACAUGUAAGAUAUUCCUAUUUGGUUAUAAAACAGGAAUCUUGGUCUCAAAAUGUUUGCCCUUGCAGUCCAAGCUGACUGGGAAAGGGAUUGUGAAAAUCUACCCUUUCUCCUGAGGCCCACAGAAGUCACUGUGGACCAGUCUCCUGCCACCUCCUCUAGUGCCUAGGUUCCCUAAGAGUCUCAUGCUCCUAGCUGGCAUGCCCCACGUCUGAGGAGUGGGCCUCAGCCACGUCCUGGGGCCCGCAGUUCCAAGGAGGCUGUGUCGGUGCCUUCCGUCCGACUCUAGGAGAACUCUGUUAGAGUUGACACAGCCUCUCUGAAUUUAUCUGGGAGGUCUCUGAGGACAGCGGCCAGUUCCUCCCUGCAUGGGGAAAAGGUCUUCUCCCAAACUAGCCCCCACACGUUGUCUGGGGUGAAGGAGGCAGUGAGGUGCUGAGGCUCCUGAGAACAAGGUGCUGCGGUUGCAGGGAAUCCAGCUCUCCCACCCCGUGCCCUUUCCAGCACAUGAUCCUAUCCUCCUGGUGUGCCCAGGAGGGCAACCAAGAGGCAUGAAGGGCAUGAAGAACUUGUUAUAUGAAAAGCAGUCACUUAGGGAACACCCAACAUGCUCGAGAACCACACCAGGUAACCGAUCUCAUGUCAAAGGUGAGCUCCAGGGUGGUGCUGCCCCGCCCACUCCACCCGUGGCUGUUAGAAGGGGUGAGAUGUGUUUGCCUGUUACCAUACCCGGGCUAUGUUUCCUAUAACAUAUGGCAGAGCAUACCUCUAAAAGGCAGAGCUAGAAUCAACACACUGGGAGAACAAGGAAGUAGCUCCUAGAAGGUUUCUAGAAAAACUUUCCUACCAUUAAGGCUCAUCAACAAUGUAAAGGGACGCCUCUGGAAGUACCAAGGGUUCCAAGUCAGGCAGACACCUUUUACGAGAGGUCCUGAAGUGGGGGUGUCCCUUCCAGCCACAAGAAUCUGCAACUUAAUACGGCUGUUUUGGCCAAAGCAGAAACCCCAUUCAACAGGCAACAGACUAAAAAUAGAGCCCGAAGUUUCUGUUCUUUCUUUUUUCUAAUUGCUAACAUGCUGAUUCUUGCAGAGAUAGCAGCUGACCUGUUGUUAAGCUUAGCCCAGGCUUGACCAACAAAGCAUGCUAUUUAGGUAGUUUUUCAUAAAUGCUGAAACCACAGAUCUGUUAAUUUCACUGCUAAAAAAUGUCCCUGUCAGUCUCUAAGAAGAGAGUUGGGGGGAGAGUGCUGAAGUGCUAACCAAUGUCACUGGUUGAGCCACACGGCCCCUUUCUUCACAUCUCUAUUUUAAUGCAUGUCAUUCACAUCACGUUACUCUUAGUUACUUGUGCACAACUAUUUCCCACAUAGGGCUAUUUAUAUUUGCAAAGGUACUUCCCAGGUACACUCACAAACUAUCUUAUCUGAUUUGCCCAGGAUGUACUAUUUAGGGAGAGAAAUGAUCCCAGAUUCUUCAAAUCAUUUUGACAUUUCCUCCAAAGUAAGACUUAGGGGGUUGAUGAACCCAAAAUGUUCACACUUACAGAUACAUAGGUGUGGAAUAAUACUAACACGUUUGCACAAUAUAUUUUUCAAAUUUGUUUCAAAUCUGUUAUUUUAUCCUAGUGCAACAGUAACACAGGGAGGUAGACAGGGUGUGGAUUACUGUUUCUGUAAGAGACACAUGAACAGUGAAGUUCAGAUAGUGUGUUCAGGGUCUCAUACCUUGGAGUAUGAAAAUAUCUGAACUCACAUCUUCUGACUCCACAUCUUGACCUUUCUUUUCUGACCUCUUUACUAUGCAUGUGCGUGUGUGUCUGUGGUGCAGGCUUGUGGGUGGCACAUGCUGU